UAGUCCGUGCAGUAAACGAUGAGUGCUAGAUGUUGGGAAUUUAAAUUUCCAGUAUCGCAGUUAACGCGUUAAGCACUCCGCCUGGGAAGUACGGCCGCAAGGCUAAAACUCAAAUGAAUUGACGGGGACCCGCACAAGCGGUGGAUCAUGUGGUUUAAUUCGAAGAUACGCGAAGAACCUUACCGGCCCUUGACAUACCAAUCGCGGACUUAAGAGAUUAAGUCUUUCACUUCGGGUGGAUUGGAUACAGGUGCUGCAUGGCUGUCGUCAGCUCGUGUCGUGAGAUGUUGGGUUAAGUCCCGCAACGAGCGCAACCCUUACCUUCAAUUGCCAGCACGUUAUGGUGGGAACUUUGAAGGAACUGCCGGUGAUAAGCCGGAGGAAGGUGGGGAUGACGUCAAGUCCUCAUGGGCCC
rnacentral:rRNA from 1 species